rnacentral:rRNA from 1 species
UUUAUUGGUUACUCCCUGCUAGUAUGACGGCUAGCUCAACUCUCACAUGGUUGCCCACUGAAGUUAAGCAGGGCUGUGCCUGGUCAGAACCUGGAUGGGAGACCACAUGGGAAAGCUAUAGGUUGCUGCUGGAA